rnacentral:tRNA from 1 species
AGUGAGGUGGCUGAGUUUAAGCGAUAAAUUGUAAAUUUAUUUACGGAUUUGAUCCUCUUGCUA